AGUGAACGCUGGCGGUAGGCCUAACACAUGCAAGUCGAACGGCGGCACAGUAAGAGCUUGCUCUUACGGGUGGCGAGUGGCGGACGGGUGAGGAAUACAUCGGAAUCUACUUUUUCGUGGGGGAUAACGUAGGGAAACUUACGCUAAUACCGCAUACGACCUACGGGUGAAAGCAGGGGAUCUUCGGACCUUGCGCGAUUGAAUGAGCCGAUGUCGGAUUAGCUAGUUGGCGGGGUAAAGGCCCACCAAGGCGACGAUCCGUAGCUGGUCUGAGAGGAUGAUCAGCCACACUGGAACUGAGACACGGUCCAGACUCCUACGGGAGGCAGCAGUGGGGAAUAUUGGACAAUGGGCGAAAGCCUGAUCCAGCCAUACCGCGUGGGUGAAGAAGGCCUUCGGGUUGUAAAGCCCUUUUGUUGGGAAAGAAAAGCAGCGGGUUAAUACCCCGCUGUUCUGACGGUACCCAAAGAAUAAGCACCGGCUAACCUCGUG
rnacentral:rRNA from 1 species